AGUGAACGCUGGCGGUAGGCCUAACACAUGCAAGUCGAACGGCAGCACAGUAAGAGCUUGCUCUUACGGGUGGCGAGUGGCGGACGGGUGAGGAAUACAUCGGAAUCUACUUUUUCGUGGGGGAUAACGUAGGGAAACUUACGCUAAUACCGCAUACGACCUACGGGUGAAAGCAGGGGAUCUUCGGACCUUGCGCGAUUGAAUGAGCCGAAGUCGGAUUAGCUAGUUGGCGGGGUAAAGGCCCACCAAGGCGACGAUCCGUAGCUGGUCUGAGAGGAUGAUCAGCCACACUGGAACUGAGACACGGUCCAGACUCCUACGGGAGGCAGCAGUGGGGAAUAUUGGACAAUGGGCGCAAGCCUGAUCCAGCCAUACCGCGUGGGUGAAGAAGGCCUUCGGGUUGUAAAGCCCUUCUGUUGGGAAAGAAAAGCAGCAGGUUAAUACCCCGCUGUUCUGACGGUACCCAAAGAAUAAGCACCGGCUAACUUCGUG
rnacentral:rRNA from 1 species